rnacentral:rRNA from 1 species
AUUGAACGCUGGCGGAAUGCUUUACACAUGCAAGUCGAACGGUAGAGGGGGCAACCCCUCGAGAGUGGCGAACGGGUGAGUAAUAUAUCGGAACGUGCCCAGUCGUGGGGGAUAACGUAGCGAAAGUUACGCUAAUAACGCAUACGAUCUAAGGAUGAAAGCGGGGGAUCGCAAGACCUCGCGCGAUUGGAGAGGCCGAAAGCAGAUUAGGUAGUUGGUGGGGUAAAGGCUCACCAAGCCAACGAUCUGUAGCUGGUCUGAGAAGACGACCAGCCACACGGGAACUGAGACACGGUCCAGACUCCGACGGGAGUCAGCAGUGGGGAAUUUUGGACAAUGGACGCAAGUCUGAUCCAGCCAUUCCGCGUGCAGGAUGAAGGCCCUCGGGUUGUAAACUGCUUUUGUACGGAACGAAAAGGUCUCUCUUAAUACGGGGGACUCAUGACGGUACCGUAAGAAUAAGCACCGGCUAACUACGUGCCAGCAGCCGCCGUAA